GGCUCAGUGGUACGAUGGUAAAGCGCUCGUCGAGGAGCCAGAGGGUCCUGGGUUCGAUCUCCAGCAGGGUCG
rnacentral:tRNA from 1 species